AGGGAUUAAACCCAGGUUUAAUGGGGGUGCGCUGCUCCGCCCUGCGGCGCUCCAACGUCACCCAACGGACCUGGAAUAUGGGGGAUAGACCGGGGUUAAACCGGGGUUAAACUGGGAUUGAACUGGGAUUGAACCAGGGUUAAACCGGGAUUAACCUGGGGUUUAGACCAGGAUUAAAGCAGGGUUAGAGCAGCCUUAAACCGGGAAUUAAAGCAGGCUUGAACUGGGAUUGAACUGGGAUUGAAGCAGGAGUUAACCCGGGAACUGGGAAUGCGCUGCUCCAUCCACACCGUCACUGACCCACCUGGAACGAGGGCUAAACCAGGCUUAAACUGGGAUUAAACUGGGAAUUAUACUGGGAAUAACAGGAAUUGAACUGGGAACUGGGAGUGUCACCAAGCACACCUGGAACUGGGAUUAAACCGGGAAUGGAACUGGGAAUUAAAGCGGGAAUGAAAGCGGGAAUGGGGCUGUUCCCAACGGGAGAGGCGUCCCGGUGCUGCCCUCUGCUGGCCAUGGCGGGAACUGCAGGAAAUCCGGGAAUGGGGAAUAUUCCCAAUGGGAAAAACGUCCCAGUCCUGGCUUGUGUUGGGGAUUGUGGGGAAACUGGGAAUGUGGAUUGUUCCUGGUGUUCCCGUUCCUGGAUUCCUGAGGUUCCCAUUCCCAGAUCCCAAAUGAUCAUUGUUCCCACUGUUCCCAUUCCCACAUUCCCACUGUUCCCAUUGUUCCCAUUCCCACAUUCCCACUGUUCCCAUUCCCAUUCCCACUGUUCCCACUGUUCCCAUUCCCACAUUCCCAUUCCCAAUCCCAAAUUCCCAGAUUAUUCCCAGAAUUAUUCCCAGAUUUAUCCCAUUCCUCACGUCCUUGCUGCCGUGGAAGCCGAUCUGAUCCCAUUCCCACAUCCCCAGAUUUAUUCCCAAAUUCCCAGAUCAUUCCCAGAUUUAUUCCAUCACUCACGUCCUUGCUGUGGUGGAAGCCGAUCUGUUCCCAUUCCCAAAUUCCCAGAUUCAUUCCCAAAUUCCCAGAUUCAUUCCCAAAUUCCCAGAUUACUCAUCCCCCUCACGCACGUCCUUGCUCUGGUGGAAGCCGAUCUGUUCCCAUUCCCAAUCCCCAGAUUUAUUCCCAAAUUCCCAGAUUAUUCCCAUAUUCCCAUCCCCCUCACUCACGUCCUUGCUGCGGCGGAAGCCGAUCCGAUCCCAUUCCCAUUUCCCAUUCCCAAAUUCCCAGAUUUAUUCCCAAAUUCCCAUUCCCACAUUCCCAGAUUUAUUCCCAAAUUCCCAGAUUUAUUCCCAAAUUCCCAGAUUAUUCCCAGAUUUAUCCAUCCCAAUCACUCACGUCCUUGCUGCGGUGGAAGCCGAUCUGAUCCCAUUCCCAAAUUCCCAAUCCCAAUCCCAAAUUAUUCCCAGAUUAUUCCCAGAUUUAUCCCCUCACUCACGUCCUUGCUGCGGUGGAAGCCGAUCUGAUCCCAUUCCCAAUCCCCAUUCCCAAAUUCCCAGAUUUAUUCCCAAAUUCCCAGAUUAUUCCCCUCACUCACGUCCUUGCUGCGGUGGAAGCCGAUCUGCCCCACGUCCAUGUCGGGCGUUUUGCGCAGGUUGCUCCAGGGCGUGUAAACCACGGUCACCGAGCUCAGCUUGCAGCCUGCAGGAAA
ensembl:lncRNA